rnacentral:rRNA from 1 species
GAUGAACGCUGGCGGCGUGCUUAACACAUGCAAGUCGAACGGGAAACCUUUUAUUGAAGCUUCGGCAGAUUUAGCUGGUUUCUAGUGGCGGACGGGUGAGUAACGCGUGGGUAACCUGCCUUAUACAGGGGGAUAACAACCAGAAAUGGUUGCUAAUACCGCAUAAGCGCACAGGACCGCAUGGUCCGGUGUGAAAAACUCCGGUGGUAUAAGAUGGACCCGCGUUGGAUUAGCUAGUUGGCAGGGUAACGGCCUACCAAGGCGACGAUCCAUAGCCGGCCUGAGAGGGUGAACGGCCACAUUGGGACUGAGACACGGCCCAGACUCCUACGGGAGGCAGCAGUGGGGAAUAUUGCACAAUGGGGGAAACCCUGAUGCAGCGACGCCGCGUGAAGGAAGAAGUAGCUCGGUAUGUAAACUUCUAUCAGCAGGGAAGAUAGUGACGGUACCUGACUAAGAAGCCCCGGCUAACUACGUG